rnacentral:piRNA from 1 species
UCCAUUAAUAUGGGGUGUGACCAUUUAUG